CGCGUAGGGCGCAAGCGUUGUCCGGAAUUAUUGGGCGUAAAGAGCUCGUAGGCGGUCUGUUGCGUCCGCUGUGAAAACUCGGGGCUUAACCCCGAGCCUGCAGUGGAUACGGGCAGACUAGAGGUAGGUAGGGGAGAAUGGAAUUCCCGGUGUAGCGGUGAAAUGCGCAGAUAUCGGGAGGAACACCGGUGGCGAAGGCGGUUCUCUGGGCCUUACCUGACGCUGAGGAGCGAAAGCCAGGGGAGCAAACGGG
rnacentral:rRNA from 1 species